ACUCCUACGGGAGGCAGCAGUGGGGAAUAUUGCACAAUGGGGGAAACCCUGAUGCAGCCAUGCCGCGUGUGUGAAGAAGGCCUUCGGGUUGUAAAGCACUUUCAGUAGGGAGGAAGGUAGUGUAGUUAACACCUGCAUUAUUUGACGUUACCUACAGAAGAAGCACCGGCUAACUCCGUGCCAGCAGCCGCGGUAAUACGGAGGGUGCGAGCGUUAAUCGGAAUUACUGGGCGUAAAGCGCAUGCAGGCGGCCUGUUAAGUCAGAUGUGAAAGCCCGGGGCUUAACCUCGGAAUUGCAUUUGAAACUGGCAGGCUAGAGUCUUGUAGAGGGGGGUAGAAUUUCAGGUGUAGCGGUGAAAUGCGUAGAGAUCUGAAGGAAUACCAGUGGCGAAGGCGGCCCCCUGGACAAAGACUGACGCUCAGAUGCGAAAGCGUGGGGA
rnacentral:rRNA from 1 species